rnacentral:tRNA from 1 species
ACUAGAGUGUCUGAUAAAAGAGGUAAAUUGUAAAUUUAUUAAUGAAUUUAAAUUCCUUUAGUA